UAACGACUUCCUUACUGUCUCCAACAAAGCUUCAGUGAAAUUGAAAUUCCUGUGAAGAUGCAGGUUAUACGCAGCAAGACGGAAAGACCCCGUGCACUUUUACUAUAAGCAUACACCGCGAUCAGUUUUAAAUUGUGUAGAUAUAAGUGGGAGUUGUUUGAAACUUUUACGUAAGUAAAUUGUUUAGGCGUUAGUGAAAUACCACUCUUUUUUCAAUUAUUCGCUCACUUUUAAUGAAGGACUCUGUAUGCUUGGUAGUUUCGCUGGGGCGGCGACCUCCUAAAAAGUAACGGAGGUGCGCAAAGGUAAACUUAAAUAAUUAAAAUUAUUUUUAAGCGUAAUAGUAAUGUUUGCCUGACUGUAAGAUUGAUAAAUCGCGCAGAGACGAAAGUCGGUUAUAUUGAUCCGGUGGUUUUUAGUGGAAAAGCCAUCGCCAACAAAUAAAAAGUACGCCGGGGAUAACAGGCUGAUGCCUCCCUAGAGCUCUUAUCG
rnacentral:rRNA from 1 species